rnacentral:rRNA from 1 species
AUGUGUGUACCCGAGAACCAAGGAGAAAUGGGUUUUCGGGAUAUCCAUUGUUUCAAUUUGGCUAUGCCGGCUAAACAGGCUUGGCGUCUUAUCUAGAAUCCGGAUUUUCUAUGUGCUACUAUUUUGAGAGUCAAAUACUAUCCUGACGUUGACUUGUUGAACAUUGACCUGAAGAAGGGUUCUUCCUUCACCUGGUAAAGUAUUAUGGCGGGUGUGAGCUCCCUAAAGCGUGGUCAUAUUUGGCAAGUGGAAAAUGGACAGAAUAUUGACAUUUGGGAGAACGCCUGGAUUCCAAAUUGUGCAAACCGUAAAAUUGUUACCCCAAGGGAUGCCAGUUGUUACGGAAGGUAA